UGGUGAAUUAAGAGGCAACUCUUAACUGACCAUCUAGGGAAAAAUCGAGAGAUUCAAGCCUAGAGGGCAGAAAACUUCGCUGAGUAGCGCUAAAAUAGCGAGGUGGAAGGCAUGGCGGUAGCGCAUACAACGACGUGCCAA
rfam:Candidatus Pelagibacter sp. RS40 genome.